AGUGAACGCUGGCGGUAGGCCUAACACAUGCAAGUCGAACGGCAGCACAGUAAGAGCUUGCUCUUACGGGUGGCGAGUGGCGGACGGGUGAGGAAUACAUCGGAAUCUACUUUUUCGUGGGGGAUAACGUAGGGAAACUUACGCUAAUACCGCAUACGACCUACGGUUGAAAGCAGGGGAUCUUCGGACCUUGCGCGAUUGAAUGAGCCGAUUUCGGAUUAGCUAGUUGGCGGGGUAAAGGCCCACCAAGACGACGAUCCGUAGCUGGUCUGAGAGGAUGAUCAGCCACACUAGAACUGAAACACGCUCCAGACUCCUACGGGAGGGAGCAGUGGGGAAUAUUGGACAAUGGGCGCAAGCCUGAUACAGCCAUAGCGCGUGAGUGAAGAAGGCCUUCGGGUUGUAAAGACCUUUUGUUGGGAAAGAAAAGCAGCAGGUUAAUACCCCGCUGUUCUGACGGUACCCAAAGAAUAAGCACCGGCUAACUUCGUG
rnacentral:rRNA from 1 species